GACGAACGCUGGCGGCGUGCUUAACACAUGCAAGUCGAACGAAGUGGCGAACGGGUGAGUAACGCGUAAUCAACCUGCCCUUCAGAGGGGGAUAACAGUUGGAAACGACUGCUAAUACCGCAUACUGAAGGAGGGGAUUGCGUCUGAUUAGCUAGUUGGGGGGGUAACGGCCAACCAAGGCGAUGAUCAGUAGCCGGUUUGGGGGGAUGGACGGCCACAUUUGGAAUUGGGCACCGCCCAGGCUGCUUAGGGGUGGAGGAGUGGGGAAUCUUCCGACAUGGACGGAAGUCUGGCGGAGGAACGGCGCGUGGGUGAUGACGGGCUUCGGGUUGUAAAGCUAUGUUAAUCGGGACGCGGUACCGGAAGAGAAAGCCACGGCUAACUACGUGCCAGCAGCCGCGGUAAUAC
rnacentral:rRNA from 1 species